rnacentral:rRNA from 1 species
AAAUUGAAGAGUUUGAUCAUGGCUCAGAUUGAACGCUGGCGGCAGGCCUAACACAUGCAAGUCGAACGGUAACAGGAAGCAGCUUGCUGCUUCGCUGACGAGUGGCGGACGGGUGAGUAAUGUCUGGGAAACUGCCUGAUGGAGGGGGAUAACUACUGGAAACGGUAGCUAAUACCGCAUAAUGUCGCAAGACCAAAGAGGGGGACCUUCGGGCCUCUUGCCAUCGGAUGUGCCCAGAUGGGAUUAGCUAGUAGGUGGGGUAAC